rnacentral:rRNA from 1 species
ACUCCUGCGGGAGGCAGCAGUGGGGAAUUUUGGACAAUGGGCGAAAGCCUGAUCCAGCAAUGCCGCGUGAGUGAAGAAGGCCUUCGGGUUGUAAAGCUCUUUUGUCAGGGAAGAAACGGUGAAAGCUAAUAUCUUUUGCUAAUGACGGUACCUGAAGAAUAAGCACCGGCUAACUACGUGCCAGCAGCCGCGGUAAUACGUAGGGUGCAAGCGUUAAUCGGAAUUACUGGGCGUAAAGCGUGCGCAGGCGGUUUUGUAAGUCUGAUGUGAAAUCCCCGGGCUCAACCUGGGAAUUGCAUUGGAGACUGCAAGGCUAGAAUCUGGCAGAGGGGGGUAGAAUUCCACGUGUAGCAGUGAAAUGCGUAGAUAUGUGGAGGAACACCGAUGGCGAAGGCAGCCCCCUGGGUCAAGAUUGACGCUCAUGCACGAAAGCGUGGGGAGCAAACAGGAUUAGAUACCCUGGUAGUCCC